rnacentral:rRNA from 1 species
GACAGAGGGUGCAAGCGUUGUCCGGAAUUAUUGGGCGUAAAGGGCUCGUAGGCGGUUUGUCGCGUCGGGAGUGAAAUCCACUGGCUUAACUGGUGGCUUGCUUUCGAUACGGGCAGACUGGAGGUAUGCAGGGGAGAACGGAAUUCCUGGUGUAGCGGUGAAAUGCGCAGAUAUCAGGAGGAACACCGGUGGCGAAGGCGGUUCUCUGGGCAUGUCCUGACGCUGAGGAGCGAAAGUGUGGGGAGCGAACAGG